rnacentral:rRNA from 1 species
ACGGGUGAGUAACACGUGAGUAAUCUGCCCCAGGCUCUGGGAUAGCCACCGGAAACGGUGAUUAAUACCGGAUACGACAACCGAUUGCAUGAUCUGGUUGUGGAAAGUUUUUCGGCCUGGGAUGUGCUCGCGGCCUAUCAGCUUGUUGGUGAGGUAAUGGCUCACCAAGGCUUCGACGGGUAGCCGGCCUGAGAGGGUGACCGGCCACACUGGGACUGAGACACGGCCCAGACUCCUACGGGAGGCAGCAGUGGGGAAUAUUGGACAAUGGGCGGAAGCCUGAUCCAGCAACGCCGCGUGAGGGAUGACGGCCUUCGGGUUGUAAACCUCUUUCAGCACAGACGAAGCGCAAGUGACGGUAUGUGCAGAAGAAGGACCGGCCAACUACGUGCCAGCAGCCGCGGUAAUACGUAGGGUCCGAGCGUUGUCCGGAAUUAUUGGGCGUAAAGGGCUCGUAGGCGGUCUGUCGCGUCGGGAGUGAAAACCAGGUGCUUAACACCUGGCCUGCUUCCGAUACGGGCAGACUAGAGGUACUCAGGGGAGAAUGGAAUUCCUGGUGUAGCGGUGAAAUGCGCAGA